UACAGAUGUUUGAGUGAUUACUGUGUGUC
rnacentral:piRNA from 1 species